rnacentral:rRNA from 1 species
GAGGAAUAUUGGUCAAUGCGCGCGAGCCUGAACCAGCCAAGCAGCGUGAAGGAUGACUACCCUACGGGUUGUAAACUUCUUUUAUCAGGGAAUAAAGUGAGGCACGUGUGCCUCAUUGUAUGUACCUUAGGCAUAAGCAUCGGCUAACCCGGUGCCAGCAGCCGCGGUAAUACGGAGGAUGCGAGCGUUAUCCGGAUUUAUUGGGUUUAAAGGGUGCGCAGGCGGGCUUUUAAGUAGCGGGAAAUCUGGACGCUUAACGUCCAAACUUCCGUUGAAACUGGGAGUCUUGAGUAUGGAUGAAGUAGGCGGAAGUCGUUGUGUAGCGGUGACAUGCAUAGAUAUAACGAGGAACUCCGAUUGCGUAGGCAGAUUACUAAGCCAUAACUGACGCUCAUGCACGAAAGCGUGGGGAUCAAACA